rnacentral:rRNA from 1 species
AUUGAACGCUGGCGGCAUGCUUUACACAUGCAAGUCGAACGCGAAAGGGGGCAACCCUGAGUAGAGUGGCGAACGGGUGAGUAAUAUAUCGGAACGUGCCCAGUCGUGGGGGAUAACGCAGCGAAAGCUGUGCUAAUACCGCAUACGAUCUCUGGAUGAAAGCGGGGGACUCGCAAGAGCCUCGCGCGAUUGGAGCGGCCGAUAUCAGAUUAGCUAGUUGGUGGGGUAAAAGCCCACCAAGGCGACGAUCUGUAGCUGGUCUGAGAGGACGACCAGCCACACUGGAACUGAGACACGGUCCAGACUCCUACGGGAGGCUG